UACGUAGGGGGCAAGCGUUGUCCGGAAUUAUUGGGCGUAAAGAGCUCGUAGGCGGUUUGUUGCGUCGGCUGUGAAAUCCCGAGGCUCAACCUCGGGUCUGCAGUCGAUACGAGCAAACUAGAGUGUUGCAGGGGAGACUGGAAUUCCUGGUGUAGCGGUGAAAUGCGCAGAUAUCAGGAGGAACACCGGUGGCGAAGGCGGGUCUCUGGGCAGUAACUGACGCUGAGGAGCGAAAGCGUGGGGAGCGAACAGG
rnacentral:rRNA from 1 species